rnacentral:rRNA from 1 species
UACGGGGGGGGCAAGCGUUGUUCGGAAUUACUGGGCGUAAAGGGCUCGUAGGCGGCCAACUAAGUCAGACGUGAAAUCCCUCGGCUUAACCGGGGAACUGCGUCUGAUACUGGAUGGCUUGAGUUUGGGAGAGGGAUGCGGAAUUCCAGGUGUAGCGGUGAAAUGCGUAGAUAUGACAUAGAAUACCUAUUGCGAAGGCAGCUUACUACGCAGAUAUUGACGCUCAUGCACGAAAGCGUGGGGAUCAAACAGG